rnacentral:rRNA from 1 species
GGAUAACGUUUGGAAACGAACGCUAAUACCGCAUGAUAUUAUUGAGCUGCAUGGCUUGAUAAUCAAAGGAGCAGUCCGCUGAAAGAUGGGCUCGCGUCCGAUUAGGUAGUUGGCGGGGCAACGGCCCACCAAGCCGACGAUCGGUAGCCGGACUGAGAGGUUGAACGGCCACAUUGGGACUGAGACACGGCCCAGACUCCUACGGGAGGCAGCAGUGAGGGAUAUUGGUCAAUGGGGGAAACCCUGAACCAGCAACGCCGCGUGAGGGAAGACGGUUUUCGGAUUGUAAACCUCUGUCCUCUGUGAAGAUAAUGACGGUAGCAGAGGAGGAAGCUCCGGCUAACUACGUGCCAGCAGCCGCGGUAAUACGUAGGGAGCAAGCGUUGUCCGGAUUUACUGGGUGUAAAGGGUGCGUAGGCGGCUUUGCAAGUCAGAAGUGAAAUCCAUGGGCUUAACCCAUGAACUGCUUUUGAAACUGCAGAGCUUGAGUGGAGUAGAGGUAGGCGGAAUUCCCGGUGUAGCGGUGAAAUGCGUAGAGAUCGGGAGGAACACCAGUGGCGAAGGCGGCCUGCUGGGCUCUAACUGACGCUGAGGCACGAAAGCGUGGGUAGCAAACAGGAUUAGAUACCCUGGUAGUCCACGCUGUAAACGAUGAUUACUAGGUGUGGGUGGACUGACCCCAUCCGUGCCGGA